rnacentral:rRNA from 1 species
AUUGAACGCUGGCGGCAUGCCUUACACAUGCAAGUCGAACGGCAGCACGGGUGCUUGCACCUGGUGGCGAGUGGCGAACGGGUGAGCAAUAUAUCGGAACAUACCCUAGAGUGGGGGAUAACGUAGCGAAAGUUACGCUAAUACCGCAUACGAACUAAGGUUGAAAGUGGGGGAUCGCAAGACCUCAUGCUCAUGGAGUGGCCGAUAUCUGAUUAGCUAGUUGGUGAGGUAAAGGCUCACCAAGGCGACGAUCAGUAGCUGGUUUGAGAGAACGACCAGCCACACUGGAACUGAGACACGGUCCAGACUCCUACGGGAGGCAGCAGUGGGGAAUUUUGGACAAUGGGGGCAACCCUGAUCCAGCAAUGCCGCGUGAGUGAAGAAGGCCCUCGGGUUGUAAAGCUCUUUUGUCAGGGAAGAAACGGUCUACUCUAAUACAGUGGGCUAAUGACGGUACCUGAAGAAUAAGCACCGGCUAACUACGUGCCAGCCGCCGCCGUAAUAC